UGAUGUAGGCAUAGCAUGAGUUUUUACAUUAUAAAAUGAUCAAACAAAUCUCUAUUUGUAUUAUGCAAAUUUGAAAAAACAUGGCUAAAACUCUCAAUUCCCUCUAUGCUAUGAUCCUCUUUCUUUUUCUAUUUGCUAUUGUAAAUGAAGUCAAGGCUUUUUUUGAAUGGUGCAAAUUGAAUUCUGAUUGUUAUCCAAAUGAUUGGUGCCAUUCUCCUAAUAACGCAACAUGCUACAUGGGUCAUUGUUUCUGCGUAUAGUUUACUUGCUCUUUUUUUUUUUCACAACGACAAUUAUACUGUUUAAUUAGAAUUAUCUAUAUAAAAAAAAUAAAUGAAAAUGAUCGUGUUAAGUAUUUAUAUA